rnacentral:rRNA from 1 species
UACGUAGGGUGCGAGCGUUAAUCGGAAUUACUGGGCGUAAAGCGUGCGUAGACGGCUAUCUAAGUCGGGUGUGAAAGCCCCGGGCUCAACCUGGGAAUGGCAAUGGAAACUGGCGGGCUGGAGUAUGGCAGAGGGGGGUGGAAUUCCGCGUGUAGCAGUGAAAUGCGUAGAGAUGCGGAGGAACACCGAUGGCGAAGGCAGCCCCCUGGGCCAAUACUGACGCUCAGGCACGAAAGCGUGGGGAGCAAACAGG